AGAUCAGUGAAGCAAAGAAAUGUGCUGAAGAAAAAAAGAGGGAAAACAAAGCACAUAAAUUUAAGGUCAUCAUGGAGGCAAGAGGGCCUCCUCCACUCAAAAACCACCCGGCGUUGCCAUCCCCAUGGGCUCUGGGCCGCACGCAUCUCCUUCACACUGAAGGCCUGUGAAACUUCAACCGUUGCCUCCACCUCUACCGAUUGGACAAUCCUUUUGAAGGGAGGACCCUGUGCCAUCAUAAACAGGCCAUGGCAGUUUCCUAUGUUCUGGAUGCUUCCCUGCCCAAUCCUGCCCCUCCGCUUUUGUAUUUCCUGUUGUCACCCCUAUUACACCCUUUACAGUUUGAACUCAGGAUCAGCAUCUGCUUCUCGGAGGACCAACCGACUCACCCCAGGGAGUGUGCUGAGUGUGACUCGUACACUCAGUUCAAAAACAGGCAAAAACCACAGUGAUGGGGCAGAAGAAAGGUUAUUCCUUGGGGGCAGUAUUGCCUGCU